GGGUGAUUAGCUCAGCUGGGAGAGCACCUCCCCUGGGAGAGCACGUCCCGCGGUUCGAUCCCGUCAUCACCCACCA
rnacentral:tRNA from 1 species